rnacentral:rRNA from 1 species
GAUGAACGCUGGCGGCGUGCCUAAUACAUGCAAGUCGAGCGAACAGACGAGGCGCUUGCUCCUCGCACGUUAGCGGCGGACGGGUGAGUCACACGAGGAUCACCUACCUAUAAGACUGGUAUCUCUUCGGGAAACCGGAGCUAAUACGGGAUAAGAUAUUGAACCGCAUGGUUCAAUAGUGAGAUACGGUUUUGCUGGCAGUUGUGGAUGGUUACGCGCCUGAUCAGCUUGUUGGUGGGGUAGCGGCUUACCAAGGCUACGACGGGUAGCCGGCCUGAGAGUGUGAACGGCCACAUUGGGACUGAGAUACGGCCCAGACUCCUACGGGAGGCAGCAGUGGGGAAUAUUGCACAAUGGGCGGAAGCCUGAUGCAGCAACGCCGCGUGCGGGAUGACGGCCUUCGGGUUGUAAACCGCUUUCGCCUGUGACGAAGCGUGAGUGACGGUAAUGGGUAAAGAAGCACCGGCUAACUACGUG